CUGGGGUCACUCACAUGGCGUUAAUAGAUAUACCUAGAGUUCAUAGACUCAGCCAUUCAAUGUGGUGGGGCAGGGUAUGAAAAGGGCUGUAAUAUGCUGGAAAAAUCUAACUAAUUAUUAUUCUGUCAGGGUGAUCUUAAUGCUGUCAUUGAUUUGACCUCUGUAACAUACAGACUCAUGGUGUGUGACACACCAGCAGCCCACAGUCAGCCUGAGCUCUAGUAGUCAUGUUACACAGACAGGGUUAUUAUCUAAAGUGAGAAUACAAAAUUAAUUUCAGUAUGGUCAGAAUGUGAAGCAUAGCUAACUGAAGAGAAUUUUUCUACUUUAAGCUGUUUUGACCUUUUACUUUAAAAAUGAACAUGGGAUUCUUUUAGUAAAUUAUUUUAAUAUUAAAAGGACACUAUAGGCACCCAGAACAAUUUUUUUGUCUCGUUGCAGUGUCCAUGUUCCCCGUAGCCCUGCAAUGCUUUUACUGCCUUUGUUGGUUAUCUACCAGACAACCACCAGAGGCGCUUCCUGCUGUUUCAUGGAGUUUGAACGUGAAACGACGCUGGACGUCCUCAAGCUUUGUGUGAGGACCUCCAGCGUCUUCUUAAAUCCCUAUAGGAAAG